CACGUAGGGUGCGAGCGUUGUCCGGAAUUAUUGGGCGUAAAGAGCUCGUAGGCGGUGUGUCGCGUCGGCCGUGAAAACCUGCAGCUUAACUGUGGGCUUGCGGUCGAUACGGGCAUCACUGGAGUUCGGCAGGGGAGACUGGAAUUCCCGGUGUAGUGGUGAAAUGCGUAGAUAUCGGGAGGAACAUCGGCGGCGAAGGCGGCUUCCUGGCCCAUUACUGACGUUCAGGUACGAAAGCGUGGGUAGCAAACAGG
rnacentral:rRNA from 1 species